AAAAUCUUUUGUUUAAUGUGUAUUAUAAGCAAAUAAAGUGUUUUAAUUAGUGAUUAUUAAGUAAACAAUAUUUUAAUAAUAAUAAAAAAAUACAAUUUAAAUUGGAAAAAAUAUUUAUAAAACGAAAUAAACUACAAGUAGUUUCUACUAUCAGUUACCCAAAAAAAAGCACUAUUUCUGAUCCCGGGUAAUUAGCAACAUUGCUAGACGUAAUUUCUAACAUUUACCAUUAAGGUUUUGUAAAAACAAACCGUCACAUGAUAAAUCUAAAAGAAUUAUAACUCUAACUAAGAGUAGAAUUAUACCUUGGAAACAGCAGUUUUCUAAAGCUGAUUAGUGAACAACAACAACAGCAACUACAAGAAAAGCAAAGCAACAACUAACGAAAUUAAAAGAAAAACUCCUCCUAACAACAAAACCAAAAAAAGCAAAGAAACGGGCAAAUAUGAAGAUAUUUUAAAGAAUUAAAAAAAGGAGCAGUAAAACAUCCUACUAAACAACAUCAAAAACGAAUUAACAAACAUUUGCUACUACUCACAUAUACAACAACAAAAACAACAAUAACUGAAGAGAAAUUUGUUUGCAACAAACACUUUGUUAUUUUGUUUUGUUUAUUUUUUGAUAAAAAAAGAACUUAACGUUAAAAGGGAAUUUAUUAAUUAAAAUUCUUAGGCAAUUAAUUGCUGACAAAAUACUUUUUUUAAAGGAA